AGACGUUACUCUAUUGGUCAAGCUUGGAAAUGCUUUCAUGAAAUAGAAAUUGACCAGAUCUAUAUGCCGUUGAUGAUUUUACCAAUUGGACCAAUUUAAUCAUGCAAUACUUGAAGCUGCGCAUCAUUUCAUGAAACAAAUGUGGUCUAUUUGGACAUUUUGGAAUGCCAGCGUAUAAAGCUCUGACAUGCGUCCAGACGAU